UAUUUGAAAAACGUCAUGGAGCACCGCUUUCGAAAUGUCCUAUUUGACACGAACUCAGCUGAUCGUUACUAAACUAACUGGUUCUCAAGCCUUGUCUACUUUUUCCCUGCUUGUUACACGACUGUGGCUAAUAAGAUUUUUUUUAAGAAGAGAAAAUGAGCUCUGGAAAAGCACUACAGUCAGUGUCUCCUCACAACAAUCAACCGCCGCCGACACCAAGCCUGGCGAAAAGAAAGAAGAUUCAAGAGAAGUCUGCAAUAAGGAGUCCAACAGACAGUGUGAUGUCCCCAUGUACAAGACAGCUCAUGAAGAAAGCUAUCAAGGACAUACCGUCAUCUCCCAGACCCAGACGGGAAGCGAAAGAGAACACUGCAAAUAAAUGAAUGACCUUUUUAUGUACAGUGUGAUGUCUUUACGGUAUUCCUCUCUCCGCUAAGAUGGUCAGAUCAAUCAUUGACACUUUCCUGACAUUAUGCCGUCUUUUUAAGAUGUUCCUACUAACCAAGCUGCUCACACUUUAUUGAUCCAUUAUGCAAUAUGGUGUUUAUGGGGGGUGGGGUUUUAUUAUUCAUGAAUAUGGGGAAGGGGGUUAUAUUCUUCAUUUAUAUGGGGGGAGGGGGUUAUAUUCUUCAUCUAUAUGGGGGGGGGUUAUAUUCUUCAUCUAUAUGGGGGGGGAGGGGUUUAUAUUCUUCAUUUAUAUGGGGGGAGGGAUUUAUAUUCUUCAUCUAUGUGGGGGGGGGGGGUGUUCUUCAUCAACAUUUUGUAUAUCUGGGGGGGAGGGUAUUCUUAAUCUAAAUCGCACUGUUCGGGUUUAUUGUUAUUCUUGUGAAUGUAUAAUGCUAUUUGCACUUUAGAGGACAUAUGCUGUUCAUUGUACACUGCUUUAAGUGGUGGGGGUGUUAUCUCAAACAAGUGUUCUGUAUGUGUGCCCUUUGCACAGGUACAUUUCCAUGGUUUAAGAAAAUAAAACAAAAAGUAGACUACUUUAUAUUCUGUUUGUACAUUGGCUUUAUGUUGCUCAGUUUUCAAUAUGUAACUAGCAAAAAAAGGACUUAGCUCACUGCUUUCAAUAAACAUAUUUGAUAUGGAAGAGA